rnacentral:misc_RNA from 1 species
CGGUUCGAGUCCGCUAACCUCCACUGACGAAUCUUCUGACAACGAGCCAAUGGUGAGAACCGUUGUGUGAUGUGAUUUAGAAUUUAAGUUUGCUGGCAGACCCUAGCUUUUUAUCAUUCCAGGUCUCAAUCAAUUGAGGUUAGGUUGAUAGGACGCUGGGCUCACUGUAAUUCGCAAGAAUUGCAGAGAUGUUCAGCA